UACAGAGGGUGCGAGCGUUGUUCGGAAUUAUUGGGCGUAAAGAGCUCGUAGGCGGUCUGUCGCGUCUGCUGUGAAAUCCCGAGGCUCAACCUCGGGCUUGCAGUGGGUACGGGCAGACUAGAGUGCGGUAGGGGAGAUUGGAAUUCCUGGUGUAGCGGUGGAAUGCGCAGAUAUCAGGAGGAACACCGAUGGCGAAGGCAGAUCUCUGGGCCGUAACUGACGCUGAGGAGCGAAAGCGUGGGGAGCGAACAGG
rnacentral:rRNA from 1 species